UUUGUUUUGUUUAUUUUUUUUCUUUAGUAGGUGCAAAGAUUGAGCCUUGAGCUCCAGCAAGCUGCAUAUGGUGUGUUUUCUGUUCAGAAUCUGUACUGGUGAUCUGCUCUCCCUUGUUACCUGACACAGCCUGAGUUUCUUAACUUGUAGGGCAUGCUGAAUAACCUGUAUUUUCAUUUUCUAAAUAGCAAAGUAUUAUACUUUUCUUGGAAAAGUGGAGAGAAUAACCUUCACAUCAGCCAGCAUUGAGAUGAAGGUAAUUAAAGCUCUUUUACUAAAGACAUUAAGACCAAAUAUUCCCUCAAGUACGGACUGUAGAGUACUACAUUGCCAUGAGGUGAAUUUGCUAAAUUUAAAUUUACAUACACAGAAAUAGCAAAAUUUAACAGAAAUACUGGAAAAGUUCCAUGUAACAUAUUUGCCAAUGGUUCUAUACAGUCGACUGGUCUGUGCAACACAGUGUUGAUUUAGGGAAAGACUUUGCAUUUGCCCACAUGCGCAAUAGUAAGUGAACUGGAAUGUCAGCAUGUAUUGAAAGUGUUGCACACACUGUGUAGUUAUGCUUCUAAACUGCAUGUUUUCCAAUUCUGUAAAAUAAUAUGAAAUUUAUUUAUUAUGUUUCUGAGAACUAUGUCCUGCAGUCAUACUGUGGAAUUGUGUUACCAUCACGGCUGGUUUUAAGUUGAUUACCCUCUGAAAUAUGAAUCGAGGAUGCGAAUCACUGUUAGACCUGCCCUGGAUCCAAGGAUAAGUAGCAUCCUCCCUGCACUAUAGCUCAGACACACUCACCCACACAUAACUCUAUGUUAUACCCAUAUAAAUAUAUAUAUUUCCUUACUGCUGUCAUUUAGAGCAAACAUUUGGCUGAUUGUGGAAGUUUUCUUUUUAUUGGUGUUAUUACUAUUUGCAUUACUGCUCCAGCUAAGAUUUCCUGCUGUUCAUUUCUUUCACAAGUUUCUGUAAGCAUCAAAACAACACCUUUUUAGCUGCAAAGACACCGUUUUGGUAGGAAAAAAUCCGCGGUUUCUGUGGCAGAGAUCACGCCCUGCAAGGCUGGGGCAGGUGGCGGUGGUGCAGGAUGCGGGGAGCAGCAGAGCGGCGGCUGUGUCGGCUCCCGGCUAAACUGAGCUGUGGCCGGGGAUGGGCUGAGGCCGGGGCUGGGCUGGCUUUCAGCGGACUCCCUGCCACAGGUGAAUGAAUCUGGCUAUACUUUUAACACUUCCAGAAUAUAGUAUGUCCAUCAGAGCGUCAUAGGACAAAAAGAGUCCUGAAUCCACAAAUCUCUGGCAGCUUUUCUCUCCAAGUUGCUCAGCCUGCAUUGCACCUUCCCCAGCCACCCAGAACUGCCAGUGCCAGCCUGGCACUGCACCUGGUAAGGGCAAUGGAUCAGCUCCACUGCAUGAUCAAUCUGGUGUUAGGCAUUAUUAAUAGGUUCACUUGUAGAGACUGGCCAGAAUUGUGCUUCUCUUUGUGCUGAACAAGUACAAAUAAAAUGUAGCUCAGAAGUUCUUUUAGUGUCUGAUACCUUUGCUUCUCCCCUAUGAAAAAACCCAGCACAAACUCCUUCACCUCACAUCUGGUACAGACAUUUACAUCUUUGGAGCUGAGGUCACUGCACCACUGCCCUCCCACCAUGGGAACCCAGCGAUGCCCUCUGCACUGGUGUGGCCAGAUCCUGCAUAAAACAGGCUGUGACUGCUUAGCCCAUUGUUCACAGGUACAUGUAAUGGCUCACAAUGCAAAACAGAAGUACUGUGCAAGGCAAAGUGGUUUUGGCUGGGAAUCAUGUAUUCAUCCACCUGAAAUCAAUGUUUGUUUUCUUUUAGCAAGCUUUUGGACAGGUCUGCAUGAGGCCAAGCAGUAUGAGAACACACUGGAAGGGAGGGAAGAAGAAAGCUGACACUUAAAUUAUAGUAGUAAAAACUGCAUAUCUCAAUACCAUCAGCAGUGCUGAGCUGGAACUGUCUCCUGAUUGCCGAUUUUCCAACUUUGUCAAAACACCUCAACUGCAUAAUAAAUAAUGCAAAUGGACAUUCUCUGAUCACCCAUAAACCCAAGAGGAGAUAUACAUUAUCUGAAACUUACUGGUUCAUGGGAGGUUUUGAUCUUCAGAAGAUUUGCAAAAUCAAAUCAGCAGAGUGCAGAGGACAACUUACUUGGCAGGCUUUGGAGCAGGAUGUGACCCCAAAUGGGAUGUGUGGCACACCAGCAGAUCAGUGGCCCAGGACCCACCAGCACUGGGUGCCUGCAGCUCAGGGACCUCAUCUGGAGCUGGCAGCAAGGAAUCAUGGCCAGCCCCACCACAGCAGCCUGCACAUGACAAAUCUAGAUGGGAUCCUGUAGCCACUAUGCCCCAAGACUAGAGGACAGAUCCCUGAAAAUCUUGGAUAAUUG